rnacentral:lncRNA from 1 species
AUGGUUCAACGUUUGACAUACCAUUGUAGGUUUUCCUACAAUACAGCCUCCAACAAAAUGAGGCUGUCUUAAACCCAGAUGCACCAAAAAUCUGCAUGCAGCAUGUGCCCAGGCAGACUUUGAGGGGUUCAUGCUAUGAGACCUAAAGUUCUUAUGAGAUUGUCCAGAUCACAUUAGCAAGGCCUAUAGCGGCCACGUGUGCUCAGUGAGUCUGUGACAGGAUCAAGCAUGUUGCUUAUCGAGGAGCAGAAAAUCGUUGUGAAAGUAUUGAAGGCACAGACACAGAGUCAGACAGCUAA